GCCAACUCAUCAUGUCACUCAUGGAGGGGGACAAUCAACUUGGCAGCCUCCUGAUUGGGCUAUUGAGCCACGUCGAGGCGUUUAUUAUCUUGAUGUGAUCAAAGACGGGGAGGUACUUGAUCGAAUUAAUUUGGAUAAGCGAAGGCAUAUCUUUGGACGACAGUUUCACACUUGUGAUUUUGUCCUUGAUCAUCAGUCAGUCUCACGCCAGCACGCUGCUGUGGUUCCUCACAAAAAUGGAAGCAUUUAUGUGAUUGAUUUAGGAUCUGCACAUGGAACAUUUGUUGCUAAUGAGAGGCUAACAAAGGAUUCCCCUGUCGAGCUCGAGACUGGACAAUCUUUGAAGUUUGCUGCAUCAACAAGGACUUACAUCUUGAGAAAGAACAAUGAAGCUCUCUUCCCUCCUGCACGACUACCUGCAGAAAUAGAUUUACCACCAGUUCCAGAUCCUUCAGAUGAGGAAGCUGUUUUGGCUUAUAACACCUUUUUAAACCGCUAUGGACUUACUAGGCCUGAUUCAUUGUCAAAAUCAACAGUAUCAACUAGUGAGAAGGAUGCCAAUCAUUCAUCUGAGAGGCCUACAAAAAGAAUUAGGAGAAGAAGUGUGUCAU
rnacentral:misc_RNA from 1 species